GUUUGAAUUGUGGUGCGACGAAGGAGUAGGUGGUGGGAUCUCACCGUGGUUCCAAUUAGCCUUUUCUCUGCGUUGCUUGCUUCAGCUUCAGCAGAAUUCGAAAUGGCUGGCGGGAAGGCUGGAAAGGACUCCGGAAAGGCCAAGACAAAGGCGCUUUCCCGCUCGCAGAGAGCCGGCUUGCAGUUCCCAGUGUGCCUUAUUCAUCGACACCUGAAAUCUAGGACCAGUCAUGGACGUGUGGGUGCGACUGCCGCUGUGUACAGCGCUGCCAUCAUGGAGUACCUCACCGCCGAGGUACUCGAACUGGCAGGAAAUGCAUCAAAAGACUUAAAGGUAAAGCGUAUUACUCCUUGUCACUUGCAACUUGCUAUUCGUGGAGAUGAAGAAUUGGAUUCGCUUAUCAAGGCUACAAUUGCUGGUGAUGGUGUCAUUCCACACAUCCACAAAUCUCUGAUUGGGAAGAAAGGACAACAGAAGACUGUCUAAAGGAUGCCUGGAUUCCUUGUUAUCUCAGGACUCUAAAUACUCUAACAGUUGUCCUGUGUUGGUGAUUCCAGUGGACUGUAUCUCUGUGAAAAACACAAUUUUGCCUUUUUGUAAUUCUAUUUGAGCAAGUUGGAAGUUUAAUUAGCUUUCCAACCAA